UCCAGCAGCCGGUGUGGCCCAUUUUCAGGUAGGUCUUCUCACCUCAAAGAUCUGGAGAAAAGGAGUGCCUUCCCACCUCCAAGACACAGAGUAGAAGAGGAUCUUUCCACUUCAAAUGAUUAAGCAAAAGUCCCCCACAGCUAGGGCUUCUAUUGCCCUGAAGAGACACCAUGACCACAGCAACUCUUAUAAAGGAAAGCAUUCAACUGGCUUGGCUUACAAUUUCAGAGGCUCAUCAUGGCAGGGAGCAUGGCAGCAUUCAGGCAGCCAUGGUGCUGGAGAAGGAGAUAAGUCAAGCUGCCAAGAAGACUCUGAGACCAGACCAGCUGCCUGCAAGAGGCAGACACCAACUGAGCUGCUGGGAAGAGGUUUAAACCAACAGAGUCACCUGGAAAGAAUACUCUCCCACCUGUUGAGCUGCCUGCUGGGUGUUCCAUGUGCUUCAGAUUCCCUGCUUUUGUGAGCUGUCACCUGUUCUGGGGUAGGCUUUGGUGAUUCAGCUCUCUUUGAGACAUUUCUGCUUUUGUAAAUAAUCUUGUACUCAUAUUCCUGUAAGUUACACCAAUAAAACUCAUCCAUUCAUCAAA